rnacentral:rRNA from 1 species
GGGUGAUGAGGUGCUUUUUGUAGAACGAGCCAACGAGUUACGGUAUGUAGCAAGGUUAAGUACUUAAGGUACGGAGCCGAAGGGAAACCGAGUCUGAAUAGGGCGACUAGUUGCAUGCCGUAGACCCGAAACCGGGUGACCUAUCCAUGGCCAGGUUGAAGCGAGGGUAAAACCUCGUGGAGGACCGAACCACGUUGCUGUUGAAAAAGCAUGGGAUGAGCUGUGGAUAGCGGAGAAAUUCCAAUCGAACCCGGAGAUAGCUGGUUCUCUCCGAAAUAGCUUUAGGGCUAGCGUCGAGUAUGAGUAGUGGAGGUAGAGCACUGAAUGGGCUAGGGGGCAUAGCGCUUACCGAACCUUAUCAAACUCCGAAUGCCACAUACUUUGAGCUCGGCAGUCAGACUACGAAUGAUAAGAUCCGUGGUCAAAAGGGAAACAGCCCAGAUCGUCAGCUAAGGUCCCAAAGUGUAAGUUAAGUGGGAAAGGAUGUGAGAUUUCUAAGACAACUAGGAUGUUGGCUUAGAAGCAGCCAUUCAUUAAAAGAGUGCGUAAUAGCUCACUAGUCGAGAGAUCUUGCGCCGAAAAUGUAACGGGGCUAAACUUACCACCGAAGCUACGGGCUUGAACUUAGUUCAAGCGGUAGGAGAGCGUCGUAACCGGGCUGAAGUCGUACCGUAAGGAGCGGUGGACUGGUUACGAGUGAGAAUGUUGGCAUCAGUAGCGAGAUGUGGGUGAGAAUCCCACAGGCCGAAAACCUAAGGUUUCCUCAGGAAGGUUCGUCCGCUGAGGGUUAGUCGGGACCUAAGCCGAGGCCGAAAGGCGUAGGUGAUGGACAACUGGUUGAUAUUCCAGUACCACUACCAUCGUUAUUAUCGAUGGCGUGACGCAGGAGGAUAGUGUGUGCUAGCUAUUGGAUGCUAGUCUAAGCGUUUAGGCAGUGAGAGUAGGCAAAUCCGCUCUCAUAAUGCUGAGGCGUGAUGGGGAAGGUUCUACGGAACCGAAGUACAUGAUUCCACGCUGCCAAGAAAAGCGUCUAGAGAGAGAAGUAGUGCCCGUACCGCAAACCGACACAGGUAGGUGAGGAGAGAAUCCUAAGGCCGGCGGAAGAAUUACAGUUAAGGAACUCGGCAAAUUGACCCCGUAAGUUCGCGAGAAGGGGUGCCUACGAGAGUAGGCCGCAGAGAAUAGGCCCAAGCAACUGUUUAGCAAAAACACAGGUCUCUGCUAAAGCGUAAGCUGAUGUAUAGGGGCUGACGCCUGCCCGGUGCUGGAAGGUUAAGGGGAACACUUAGCGCAAGCGAAGGUGUGAACUUAAGCCCCAGUAAACGGCGGCCGUAACUAUAACGGUCCUAAGGUAGCGAAAUUCCUUGUCAGGUAAGUUCUGACCCGCACGAAUGGCGUAAUGACUUGGGCACUGUCUCAACUGUAAAUCCGGCGAAGUUGUAGUGCGAGUGAAGAUGCUCGCUACCCGCGAUUGGACGGAAAGACCCCGUAGAGCUUUACUGUAGCUUAGCAUUGAGUUUUGGUAUUGUCUGUACAGGAUAGGUGGGAGACUAGGAAACCAGGGCGUCAGCCUUGGUGGAGUCAACCUUGGGAUACCACCCUGACAGUACUGAAAUUCUAACUGGCGGCCAUGAAUCUGGUCACAGGACAUUGUUAGGUGGGCAGUUUGACUGGGGCGGUCGCCUCCUAAAAAGUAACGGAGGCGCCCAAAGGUUCCCUCAGAACGGUCGGAAAUCGUUCGAAGAGUGCAAAGGCAGAAGGGAGCCUGACUGCGACACCCACAAGUGGAGCAGGGACGAAAGUCGGGCUUAGUGAUCCGGUGGUACCUCGUGGGAGGGCCAUCGCUCAACGGAUAAAAGCUACCUCGGGGAUAACAGGCUGAUCUCCCCCAAGAGUCCACAUCGACGGGGAGGUUUGGCACCUCGAUGUCGGCUCGUCGCAUCCUGGGGCUGAAGUAGGUCCCAAGGGUUGGGCUGUUCGCCCAUUAAAGCGGCACGCGAGCUGGGUUCAGAACGUCGUGAGACAGUUCGGUCCCUAUCCGUCGCGGGCGUAGGAAAUUUGAGAGGAGCUGUCCUUAGUACGAGAGGACCGGGAUGGACUGACCUCUGGUGUACCAGUUGUUCCGCCAGGAGCACAGCUGGGUAGCUAAGUCGGGAAUGGAUAAACGCUGAAAGCAUCUAAGCGUGAAGCCAACCUCAAGAUGAGAUUUCCCAUAGCGUAAGCUAGUAAGAUCCCUUGAAGAACACAAGGUUGAUAGGUCGGGGGUGUAAGCAUGGUAACAUGUUCAGCUGACCGAUACUAAUAGAUCG